CGGCAGGGCGGCGGCGGCCCGGGCAGUUCCGGGGAGCUCCCUCCCGCCUCUGGCAGGGAGUGGCCCCGAGCCGGCACCUGGGGCUGUGUUUUCCUGGCAGCCACCGGCAGCCACCCCUCCGAGACCGGGGAGACCACCAGUCCCCGUCCCCCGCAGCGUCUCAGCCUCCUGCGGCCUGAACUCAAUCCCCCGUGCGCGCAGCGCGCUUCUCCAGUUCUUGGCGUGAAUUAUUUACGGCGUCUGGCGGCCUCCCCGGCGGCCUCGCUCCCCUCCUCGGCCCUCAGUGUCCCCGCGGUCCUCACUUCCCGGGUUCUGAAGCCCCUCUGGCCGCUAUCCGGGCCCCGGCAGAGCUGGGGGCGGGGGCGGUCCUGGGAGCGGGGGACACUGGGCUGGGGCCCGGCUUGGGUCCCCGUUGUCCCCCUCCCCCCACGGCCCUCUGCGAUACUGGGGUGGUGAUUCCUGCACUCUGCUUCCGGGGCUGCCCAGCAGACCCAACAGGGUCACGUGCAGGAAUGACCUCUGAAUUCGGCAAAGCGCUGUUGGCACACACAAUGUCACAGCAACCCUAGCUACUAUGCCCAUUUCCCGGAUGAAGAAACUGAGGCCCGGAGGGUUUGAGUGACUCGUCCUCAGGACACCAUCACCUGCCAGGAGCUCUCAACACUUAGCCAGGCCUAAGCUGGAUGCCGAGUUGCCUGAAGGCCUUUCACAGGUGCCCAGGGAGGUGCAUGGGCACAGUUGCAUGGGUGACCAACUGCCACCGAGGCUGGCACCCCUCACCACGGAGCUGCCCACCCACCUGGCCAGGACCUGGGGAACGGAAGGAGUGAGAUCUGGAGGCGCGAAGGAGCCACAGGACCCUUUGCUGCCCCUUGGAACCAAGAUGGACCAGCAGACUUGAGACGACCAUGCACCUGGGGGACAUUGUGAAAGCAGACAGCAGCCGCUGCCACCUCCUUCUGCCCUCCUGGUCUCACGCUUUGUCUCCUGCUCCCCGCCACCGGGCAUCACCCAGGGAGAGGUAUUCUGGGGCCUGUUCCUGCAGCUUCAGUAAGCUGCACUGUCGCAGUGCACAGCUGCCCCAGGAUGGAGUGGGUCAUGGUGGUCCAGGGCCAGGCAGAAGGGCGAGGCGGCUGCGGGCUGGAGGCUGCGGGAGGUAGGAGCUGCAGCCCGGAGCGUGGUGGGAGCCAUAGCAGGUAGUGCUUCCCAGGUGGCAGAAGCAGGCUUUGGGCCUGGUUGCAGGGGGAGA